rnacentral:rRNA from 1 species
GACGAACCGUGCGAACGUUGUUCGGAAUCACUGGGCUUAAAGGGCGCGUAGGCGGGCCCGCAAGUCAGGGGUGAAAUCCCACGGCUCAACCGUGGAAGUGCCUUUGAUACUGCGGGUCUCGAGGGAGGUAGGGGCGUGCGGAACUUCCGGUGGAGCGGUGAAAUGCGUAGAUAUCGGAAGGAACACCGGUGGCGAAGGCAGGUCUCUGGGCAUUAACUGACGCUGAGGAGCGAAAGCAUGGGGAGCGAACAGG